AUGUGCCAGUGGGGGGACAAUAAGAUCUUUGGUUCGGGCACAAAACUCAUCGUCUUCAACAAAGGAAAUUCUGCCCCAGUAAACGCUGAAAUCCUGCAGAAGAAACAUGAAAAUCAGAUAACGUAUGUUUGCCUUAUUGAGAAAUUCUACCCAGAAGUUAUUCGAGUGACAUGGACGGAUGGAGAAAAAGAGGUAACAGACAACGUAGUAAAGGGAAACAUUUGGAAGCCCACAAAAGAGGAUGAAUACUCGAUCGGCAGCUGGUUAACUGUACCAGCGGAGAACAAAGACAAGAACUACUACUGCAAGUAUGAGCAUGAAAGCAAACAGGAUUCACUGCCAACACAAGAUCCUACAAAGACUCAAGAGGACUGCAGCACGUAUCCUGGAAACAGCACAGUUUUUAUUAGAGACCACUUAAUGCACAGGGCGGCAUAUUUAGUGUACAUCGUCCUUCUUCUGAAGAGCUCCAUGUACUAUCUCAUCGUACUCUUCUUCAUCUACAGAAUGUGGGCUCCAACCAAGCACCAAGGAAAGAAAGCAUAA